rnacentral:rRNA from 1 species
UGGGGAAUAUUGCACAAUGGGGGGAAACCCUGAUGCAGCGACGCCGCGUGAGUGAAGAAGUAUUUCGGUAUGUAAAGCUCUAUCAGCAGGGAAGAAAAUGACAGUACCUGACUAAGAAGCCCCGGCUAACUACGUGCCAGCAGGCCGCGGUAAUACGUAGGGGGCAAGCGUUAUCCGGAUUUACUGGGUGUAAAGGGAGCGUAGGUGGUAAUGCAAGUCAGAAGUGAAAACCCCGUGCUUAACAUGGGGACUGCUUUUGAAACUGUAUAACUAGAGUGCAGGAGAGGUAAGUGGAAUUCCUAGUGUAGCGGUGAAAUGCGUAGAUAUUAGGAGGAACACCGGUGGCGAAGGCGGCUUACUGGACUGUAACUGACACUGAGGCUCGAAAGCGUGGGGAGCAAACAGGAUUAGAUACCCUGGUAGU